CAAGCGGAAUGUUUGUUUACCGCUUUUCUGCUUGAGCACAGCAUUCCGUUGAGUGUCUCCGACCACGUGGGACCCUUGCUGCGGAAGAUGUUUCCAAAAUGCGAUGUUGCGAAGCACUACCGCUGUGCUAGCGAACUAAGACUACAAUGAUUGUCGGCGAAAUGGCAGGCCAUGCACAAGAGUGUGUGGUGAGUGCCUUGAAAAGACGAGUUUUUGCGGUUGCCACUGACGGCUCGAACGAAAGCAAGGCACAGCUGUACCCCAUCGUGGCCACCUUCUUUGCGGAAGAAUCGGGCCUUAUAGAGAGCAAACUGCUUACUAUAAGCACCCUGGAAGGCCCUUCAACGGUGCGUGUCAUCGCCAAGUUAAUUAUGGACUGUUUUGCAUCGUUGAAUGUGCCAUUGUCUAAUUGCAUAGCUUUUUGCUGUGACAAUGCCAACGUGAUGAUGGGCAAUAAGAAUGGCGUAGCGGCAGCGCUAACCGAGGCCCAUGAAAGCAUUGUGAAAAUUGGAUGCCCAUGCCAUUCAAUAAACAUUGCGGCUGAAAAGGCAGCUUCUUGUCUCCCAGCGAAGGUGGACAAAGUCCUUGUAGACAUUUUUUAUUAUUUAGAAAGAAAUGCUAAAAGAAAAAGUUUGCUUAAAGAGUUUCACGAACUGCACGAUAAGGGGUUUGACAAGAUUCUAAAGCACAUUCCAACCAGAUGGUUUUCGCUGGGAAAAUGCCUGGAAAGGCUCCUAUAUCAGUGGGCACCGCUCUUGAGUUUUUUGCUUCAAGAAGGGAAAAAAAAUGCCACUACAGUGUCCCAAUUUCUGACCUACUACGACAUUCCCAAAAUGCCAGCACAAACUGAAGACACUGAGCAGCACCAGUUCAGACAGAAGAAAAGAAGUCUGUUGAAUCAACACCUGUGCCUGUGAAAAAAGUUAAGGCUACUGAUGUGUGCAAGACUGGAUCAACUUGCAUAACACGUGAGGAACGACUGUUAAUGUUCUUGAGCUCGGAGCUUAGCAAAGCUUGCUGUCUGUUUUUAAAUAACAUUAUUCCUGCUUUCUAGAGAGUCAACUGCAGCCUGAGAAGACAGAGCUAGCGCUCUGUCUUCUCAGUCUAUUCUUUUCUGUGUUUGUUUUUUCGCCUCGCGCUACACAAAUUUCUUUCAAAUGUUUCACCAACAAGCCCACAUCGCCACUCUUGUCGACUGCAAGCACAGGCACCCCUAAUACACAAGCUACAGCCUAUACUUUUAAACCUUGAGGACAUCCUUUCAAGGUUUCUGAGGCCAGCACUGCAAGUGGACUAGCAUGGCGCUAAGGUUGGACUCCACGUGCAGUUUCUAUGUGCAGUUUCUACGUGCAAAAAAAAAAAACAUUCUUUUGGCAAAGUGUUGGAGUGUCAGUGGUGAACAUUGUUAUGCCCAACAGUGCUCGAAGGACUUCUCGAAAAAGGUGGCUUCAGCCACGCCGAAGAUUUGGUGGUGGUGACCACAGCGGGGUUUUGAAGGCUGGAAGCAAUAUGCAGCAAAGAUUUCCCGAGGCCUGCAGGCAACAUUGUUUCAACCGACUUAAAAGUUGAAGCACAAGCUGCCAUUCACCAAGCAAAGACAAACUAAUGACUGCCGCAAAGCAGUAUUCAAGCUGUAAGACCAAAGGAGAUGGCUACUUCGGCAUACUGUGGCCACCUACAACAACCACUUCGAGAUACUUUUUUGUUGUGGCUGGAGCCAACACAGCAAGAGGCACUUACAAAGAUUAGUGCUAUCACGAACACACAAACAGUACAAAAAAUGGCAUCAAAAAGAACAAUUCAGCUUCAGCGAACGUUCUUUAAAAAAAAAAACGAAGGCAAGCCAAGGAUGGCAAAGCCUUUGUUAGGUGAGCAGAAGGCAAUGCACGAUCUCCUCAAAAAUGAAAAGGCAUCAGAGGGGCCUGCCAGCAUUGCUAAGGAAAAAGAGCACAACUACAGUAAACCCAGCAGUGAAGUCAUGCACACAAUGCUAACUCUUUGAACAGAUGCCACACGCAACUUGAUGCCCCAGCAACGUAGCACCAAAAAAAAAAGCACUAUGUAAUUCAGUGUAGUCACAUUUCUACUUUAGCUGAGAGACUUCAAAUGACACUCUGUUACUAUUUUGCACAAAACUAUCGUAAACUGCGAAGGUGAAGGUGGUCAGACAGGAACACUGAAAAACGAAGAUGACAUUAGUGUCCCUAUGACUUGAUGGCUCGUAAUGAAAUACCAAAGAGUGAAGCAAAGCUGGGGACUAAAACGAAAUUGACUUAUGUAACGACACCAAGAACAGAAAACGUCCGGGCAGCACAAAGGUUCGCUGGCGGCUGAUGUCCUCAAGAUUCCGCUGGGCUCUCCUCCUUAAAGCACACAGAAACCACUGACACUGAUUAUGGCCCACUUCGAAGGGGAAAAUAGAAGCUGUUGAGACAUGCGCGCUUUUAAUGGCUCGAAAUUUCUCAAGAAGGUUGUCCGCAACAACGUUCAUGCACUACUACUUCGUGUCCUAAACACCGUUAUUUUUCACCUGCGAACUUGUGUCUAUGUUUCAAGGAAUUCUUAGCGUAUUAAGUCACUUAGAAAUAAAAAAAAAAACAUUUUCAGAGCAAACGUUUGACCUGUGUUCUUGUCAUUCAACUCUUUCAAAGAAAAAAAGCUGUAAAAGAUGCAGCUAUACGAUGUGCUCUGCUAUCUCUAGCAAAUGUUAAAAAAAGAUGCCGGGGCACUUUGUUCUGACGUGAGCCAAAACAUGACACAAUUUCGCAGGUGCACGAGCACACAGCAAGGUUGAACUCCACUCCGCUGCCAGAUCUUUUCGGCAAUAUUGAAUACUCGCCCUGACUGAAACAUUCGAGUCUAAGCCAUUAAAUGAUAGUACGCGCAUUAUCCUUAACGUGUCAUGUUUGAAUCCGUGAGCACUGAUCACAUUUGUCUAAAACAGCGGAGCGCGUGGCUGUGGACGCAGUUGGUGUUCGCAGCUGCUACUUCACGCUAGCCACAAGCUUUCACUCAUGCUAGAAUUACGCCGUAAGUACCCAAAAACGACUAUGACGGUGUUGGCACAUUUCGUCAGAAAAUGGCAGCUGAAGCGGCCGGCAUAGUACGCGCAUUAUCCUUAACGUCUCAUGUUUGAAUCCGUGAGCACUGAUCACACUUGUCUAAAGCAGCGGAGCGCGUGGCUGUGGACGCAGUUGGUGUUCGCAGCUGCUACUUCACGCUAGCUAAAAGCUUUCACUCAUGCUAGAUUUACGCCGUAAGGACCCAAAAACGACCAUGACGGUGUUGGCACAUUUCGUCAGAAAAUGGCAGCUGAAGCGGCCGGCUGGGUGCUCUAAACAAGUGCGACUCUGUCUGUAUACAUAUUUAUGGUGCCAGCUGCGGUCGGCGACUCAAAGGCACGUAAGCAACUUCAGAGGUAUGCAAUGGCACAUUCCAUACACAUGCGAGUAAAGGUGCACGCAUACAGCUUUGACACUCAAUUAUUAUAGUCCUCGUACCUUAAGUACUCAACACAGCUGAAAAUGUUCAGGCCAGAGAAAGGAGUCUUACCCGAGAUCGUUGUUCAGGACAGCCUCGACUUAGCGGAUAUCAACGCGCCGCUCCUGCGUAUGGAAGAAAUCACAACUUGAGCGCAAUUGUCUGAUGUACGCACAAAACUCUAGCAAAAACAUAGAAAUUAGCUCCACACGAAAAGUGUAAUUCGAAAACACCGGCGCAGGACUCCGACAACGUGUAACCGCCAUCUCAACUUCCAGAAUUGAAACAAACAUGGCGCCUGCCGAACGUUUUUAUGCGCAUGCGCCGCUCUAAUCCGGUGGGCUAUUUGAACGCAAUUGACGUAAAAAAAUACGCGAACAUAACACUGCAUUAAAGGUUACGUGGAACGUCUUAAUGGGAACGGGUGCGAAGCCGAAUCGGAGCACCAUUUAGAUUACUAAAGAGCCAGCCGCGCUUUUUCUUGUGUGCAUUCCUACGAUCACACGAAAGUAAUGUAUGCAGUGCACUAUGAAUGAGAUCUAGCCGACAUUGCAGUAUUAACAGAUCCAACAUUCUCCUGCAAUGGCCCUUCGGAGCUGCAGUAUGUUAAAAUAAAUAACUAGUCAUGCCAAGUAUAGGAGAUGGUAUAAAAAGCAAUUCUUAUGUUAAGAAAGGGAAGCAGGGGCGGUGCCAGGAUUAUUUUACCGGAAGUGAGGGCACGAACAAGUUUUGGGGAGCUCCAGCUCCCCGCACGGCGCCGCCCCCGAAGGAAAGUCGUUAAAAAGAUGACGUGCCAUGGCCAGGGACCAAACCUGCGACCUUCGAAUAACGCGUCCAAUGAGCCAACUGACGCGACCAACUGAGCUAUACCCUCUUCCGCUUCUUGGGCUAUCUAUAUAUGCGUCUUUUAUGUGGGAGCAUCAGUCAGCACUGCCAGUAGCCAUGACGACGAGUGUGAAACACUUUUUUUCUGCCUAUUUGGCAUCACGUAUGUGAUCUUAUGAGCUGGCAACUGGGCAGUAAUCGCUUAUAUACUAUCUGAAGGCACAAAGUCUCUGAGAAGGAGCCCUUCGCUAUGAAUGAAGGAAAUAAGCGUACAUUCAAGGGCUCAUUUUCUUUGUUAGACAUAAUAUUAGAUGUAGCAAUCAUGCCAAGAAACGUAUCAGGGGUGUUAUUAACAGUAAUUAUAUGCUGACGAGGUGAGCAACAGGAAUGUAGAAUUGAAUGUCAUCUUAACAUCUUUUCUGCUGAUCAUGCUAAGGCAGUUAUAAAAUGUAAUAAAUAAGUCACAGAAUCACUGUCAUUUAUUGCUCCCGUCAUUAAAAUGUGCCAAUGAUGCACACAGCAUACAAACACGCACACAUGAAAAUGUUCACACAGCACCAAGGUUUGUUUAACAUUGUAGCGUAUGCCUAAAAAACUUAUUAUAUCCGGUGAACUGUUAUGGCUAGAAAAUGCCAUUGGAGGGCAUACUACAGGCAGUUUUUUUGUAAAGUCUCAAUAAGGGUAAUGAAGCACAAUACACGCAAGAUUCAUUUAUUCCCGCUAAACAUUUUCAUAUCGCCUUAUUUAUGAGGGGAAUUUUCGAUUUCGAGGCACUGAGUUGAGCACGUAGCAGUGUAGGUGGCUUGGUCACGUGACCACACAAAGCUUUGAAGCUGCAAGAUGAUAAACUAAGCUGAGAGUAUUGCUUGAAAAAUAGUAACUAAUGACAGCAACAUAGAAUUAUAUCUUAGCAAAAAUGGCAAAAAUAAAGACCAUGAACUAUAAUAACAAAAUUUACCAUUGUUUUUGCAAUUUCAGUAUGAUCUUCAUAUUUAAAUUGUGUUCAGAGGCUGCAAAAAUCAGUAAUUUGCACUGCCUAGAGGACAAGCCUCUGCAAUGUGCAAAGGGGUUGUUAGGAUUGCUGUGCAUAAGAGUUUCAGUCUGUCCGCAAACUCCUUUGUGUUAGCAUUAGACCAGAUGUCGUAGUCUUAAAUGUGAGAAGCCUAGAUACUGGCAAGAUCUGUCGGGGCAAGAUGAAUUAGGUACCCAGUACUGAAUCAGGUACCCAGUAUUCUUUUCAAUCCUUUGCACUUUGCAUAUACAAAAAUAGUGGGCAGGCUAAAACCUUCUCUAGUCUGAAACAUUUGUGUAGGUGCACCAUAAUCUGUGCAUAAAAUUACAGCACGUAUAGUAUUACUACACGCCCCUACUUUAUUCUGUGCUUCUAACGUUAUAAAUGAACUUAAAUCUAAGCACUAGUGCUCUCUUCACAGCAAUCACUGGAAUUAAAAAGCUAUCGAGCCACUGUUUCCACCUAUGCAGCAUACCUCAGCACACAAAGAUAGGCUGUCACAAUACAGGCUUCAUAAUCACAUUAACUUCAUAUUGACAAGGCCUCCCUUGUUUGCUGGAGUAGAAUUAUCUGUUAUGCUCGCCUAGCACUGUCAGCUGUAUGUGUUGUAUGAAAGACUUCAUCGGCUCUGCACACACAAAAUUUUGAUAAACGUGCUACCAUACAAUAUAAAGACAUAAUGAAUGCAAGGCUUCUCAUUGCAUUGAAAAAAAAAUAUACCACAGAUAUUGGUGCUUGUUACUGCAAUCAAUGCAUAAAAAAAGUAGAGAUAUGUUCAUGACACACAAGAACAAUGUAGCACACACGCCCACACUCUGAUCAAUGUGAAAUCAAGGCAAUAGUUUAAUUAGCUAGAACACUAACAUAAGGAAAAUAGUAUAGCUAGAGCUAAAAUAUGGACACAAGUAUUUCAUUUUCAACUUUUGCGUAACGAACCCAUUACUCCCUAGCAUUAACUGUGCCUGAAUGUUGGGGAACCUUCCCAUUUGUGUAGAACCUUUUGAUAAGUUUAGGCACACAAUAUAAACAGCGAGAGUUCACUCUCGAACUAACACAUAGUCAAGUGUGCAUGUGUUCUAUGCAUGCACGUGUAUCUAUUGGGAAUUUAGAGUGCAAAAAAACAAAACAAGAGAUUCACAAUAGCAAGAGACAAGGCGGAAGCUACUUUCAUCUAAAUUUAUUUAAUGAUUUGCCUACAAAUAUAUAUAGAAACUGUUUAACAAUGCAUUUGAGUGUGUGUGCGUGCGUUUUCCUGAAGACGUUUAUGGGCGAAGCCUCAAAUAUUAUAAGAUGACAGUUGCGCCCGUUCUGUAUCCUGUUGUGAAUGUUUUGGGCGAGUGCGCUUCUGUGUGCAUGUUCGUGCGCGCAUUCGCUUGUGUUUUUGGGUUUGGCUGCAUUCGU